rnacentral:rRNA from 1 species
UACGGAGGUGGCAAGCGUUGUUCGGAAUUACUGGGCGUAAAGGGCGCGCAGGCUGUUAUGCGAGUCUGCUGUGAAAUGUACCGGCUCAACCGGUGCCUUGCGGCGGAUACUGCAUAGCUGGAGUACUGGAGAGGGAAGUGGAAUUCCCGGUGUAGUGGUGAAAUGCGUAGAGAUCGGGAGGAACACCAAUGGCGAAGGCAGGUCUCUGGGCAGUUACUGACGCUGAGGAGCGAAAGCAUGGGUAGCGAACA